rnacentral:piRNA from 2 species
UGGUGUACGAUGUCAAGGACUGCGGCAUGU